rnacentral:rRNA from 1 species
UGGGGGAUAUUGCACAAUGGGCGAAAGCCUGAUGCAGCGACGCCGCGUGGGGGAUGAAGGCUUUCGGGUUGUAAACCUCUUUCGCUAUCGAACAAGGCCCGCUUAGGGUGGGUUGAGGGUAGGUGGAGAAGAAGCGCCGGCUAACUACGUGCCAGCAGCCGCGGUAAUACGUAGGGCGCGAGCGUUGUCCGGAAUUAUUGGGCGUAAAGGGCUUGUAGGCGGCUUGUUGCGCCUGCUGUGAAAACGCGGGGCUUAACUUCGGGCGUGCAGUGGGUACGGGCAGGCGUGAGGGUGGUAGGGGUGACUGGAAUUCCAGGUGUAGCGGUGGAAUGCGCAGAUAUCUGGAGGAACACCGAUGGCGAAGGCAGGUCACUGGGCCAUUACUGACGCUGAGGAGCGAAAGCAUGGGUAGCGAACAGG